rnacentral:rRNA from 1 species
UACGAAGGGUGCAAGCGUUGUUCGGAAUUACUGGGCGUAAAGCGCACGUAGGCGGCUUUGUAAGUUAGAGGUGAAAGCCCGGGGCUCAACCCCGGAAUUGCCUUUAAGACUGCAUCGCUUGAAUCCGGGAGAGGUGAGUGGAAUUCCGAGUGUAGAGGUGAAAUUCGUAGAUAUUCGGAAGAACACCAGUGGCGAAGGCGGCUCACUGGACCGGUAUUGACGCUGAGGUGCGAAAGCGUGGGGAGCAAACAGG